ACGGGUGAGUAACACGUGGGUAACCUACCUAUAAGACUGGGACAACUUCGGGAAACCGGAGCUAAUACCGGAUAAUAUGUUGAACCGCAUGGUUCAAUAGUGAAAGAUGGUUUUGCUAUCACUUAUAGAUGGACCCGCGCCGUAUUAGCUAGUUGGUGAGGUAACGGCUCACCAAGGCAACGAUACGUAGCCGACCUGAGAGGGUGAUCGGCCACACUGGAACUGAGACACGGUCCAGACUCCUACGGGAGGCAGCAGUAGGGAAUCUUCCGCAAUGGGCGAAAGCCUGACGGAGCAACGCCGCGUGAGUGAUGAAGGUCUUAGGAUCGUAAAACUCUGUUAUUAGGGAAGAACAAACGUGUAAGUAACUGUGCACGUCUUGACGGUACCUAAUCAGAAAGCCACGGCUAACUACGUGCCAGCAGCCGCGGUAAUACGUAGGUGGCAAGCGUUAUCCGGAAUUAUUGGGCGUAAAGCGCGCGUAGGCGGUUUUUUAAGUCUGAUGUGAAAGCCCACGGCUCAACCGUGGAGGGUCAUUGGAAACUGGAAAACUUGAGUGCAGAAGAGGAAAGUGGAAUUC
rnacentral:rRNA from 1 species